rnacentral:rRNA from 1 species
GACGAACGCUGGCGGCGUGCCUAAUACAUGCAAGUAGAACGCUGAAGGAGGAGCUUGCUUCUCUGGAUGAGUUGCGCACGGGUGAGUAACGCGUAGGUAACCUGCCUGGUAGCGGGGGAUAACUCUUGGAAACGCUAGCUAAUACAGCAUAUUGGUAGAUGUUGCAUGACAUUUGCUUAAAAGGUGCAAUUGCAUCACUACCAGAUGGACCUGCGUUGUAUUAGCUAGUUGGUGGGGUAACGGCUCACCAAGGCGACGAUACAUAGCCGACCUGAGAGGGGGAUCGGCCACACUGGGACUGAGACACGGCCCAGACUCCUACGGGAGGCAGCAGUAGGGAAUCUUCGGCAAUGGACGGAAGUCUGACCGAGCAACGCCGCGUGAGUGAAGAAGGUUUUCGGAUCGUAAAGCUCUGUUGUAAGAGAAGAACGAGUGUGAGAGUGGAAAGUUCACACUGUGACGGUAUCUUACCAGAAAGGGACGGCUAACUACGUG